rnacentral:lncRNA from 1 species
UGAGCCGCCCCUUUCAGGUUUUCAACUUAGCAUGCGUUUGUCUUAAAUUUUGCCAAAGUCUCUCUUUCGAGUUUUCAACUUAGCAAACUUUUAUUUUUUUGCCUAAGCCACCCUUUUGGGUUUUCAACUUAACAAACUUUUAUUUUGCCAAAGUCUCCCUUUCAGGUUUUCAACUUAGUAAACUUUUAUUUUUUGCCUAAGCCACUCUUCAGGGUUUUCAACUUAACUUUUUC